AUACGGAGGGUGCAAGCGUUAAUCGGAAUUACUGGGCGUAAAGCGCUCGUAGGCGGCUUGUAAAGUCGGAUGUGAAAGCCCCGGGCUCAACCUGGGAACUGCAUUCGAUACUGGCAGGCUAGAGUAUAGUAGAGGCAAGUGGAAUUCCGGGUGUAGCGGUGAAAUGCGUAGAUAUCCGGAGGAACAUCAGUGGCGAAGGCGACUUGCUGGACUAAUACUGACGCUAAGGAGCGAAAGCGUGGGGAGCAAACGGGAUUAGAUACCCUAGUAGUCC
rnacentral:rRNA from 1 species